GUUGGGCAAAGGCCAGUGCUGAAUUUGGGUUCGCCACACGCUCAGCACCGCAUGGAGGCAGCAAUGACAUCAGAGCAAGCCUUGGCUGCCCCUUGCAAAGCUCAGGCUCAGGGACGGCUUGAAGCUGGAGUCCAAGGGUGAGGGGGAACCUGAAGGUACUCCUUCUGUGGGUCAUUUGGUUGAUUAAGUCUUGGCUGGUUUGGGUCUGCACUUCUUGUUGCACUGCAGAAAAUCCAGCUGUCGAUUCCUCCUGUCUUGGGAGGGACAGCGGCCUCGUCAGCGCCGCUUGCCGCAAUGCCCAGGCCAUGGUACCCUGCUUGUGCUGAGGGGCAGUGGCUUCUGCUUAAUGUGUGCAAUGUCUUGUUUUUCUGAAGAGACAGAUUCUGAGACUGUGCCGGAGACCUUAGCUGUGGAAGAAAGUGACAUUGUGCCAGGCUCACAUGAAAAAAGAGAACCAAUAGAGGACACCAGGACACUUGCUGAGCCUGAAGAAUAUUCAGGGUCAUCCGGUGGGCAAAAAGCCCAGACUGCUGGACACUGUGACCCGAGCAAGUACUACAUCCUAGUAGGGACAGUAGCAGCCUCAGCUUUGCUUCUGCUUGGGGCAGUGUCUGGCUAUCUAGUCAUGCAUCAGCUGCUGAAGAGAGACAGGUGAGUUAUUAAUUGCUGCCAUUGGCAAGGAAGUCUUUGCAGCAUGCAGGAGCGCCCAGGUGGCUCCUAGCAGGGCUCUGAGGAAACUGUGCUCCAAAUUGCUAUCUGUGAGGAGUCUUCUUGGAAAUCUGUUUCUGCAGGAGGAGCCAGGAGGACAAAGAGGCAACAGGACAGGACUGGGACUCUUCCUGGGAAAGCUGUGGUCAGCCUAGAGGUGAAGCAGAGCCAGGAGAAGGAGCGGGAAGCGGCGAGAGAGCCCAAGGCAACGGGUUCAGGGACAGCUGCCGCCUGUUUCCUGAGCUCUUUGCAGCAGAGCUCGCCCGGCUGUACAAGAACAUGAGCGCAUACCCGUCACCUCUGCCCACCUGCUCCUUCUGUGCUCUGGCUGACAACGCCUCUUCACGGGACCACUGGAUUUCCCUGGAGUCACCUCAGCCCACAGCAUCCUCUUGGCCCUCCUACCACCAAUACCUGCAGGACUACUAUCUCUUAGAGGAUGAUGAUUAGUGAUAGUGAUAGCCAUAGAUAGUGAUAGUGAUAGCCAUAGAUAGUGAUAGUGGUAGUGAUUCUUUUAGUGAUAGUGAUAGGGACACUUGAUAUUAGAGGGUGGUGGUUGUUUUAAUGAUAGUGAUAGUUAAUAUUAGAGGAUAGUGAUGGUUUUAAUGAUAGCGUUCUUUAAUAUUAGGGGAUAGUGAUUGUUUCAAUGAUAGCGUUACUUGAUAUUAGAGGAGGGUGAUUGUAUUAGUGAUAGUGAUAGUCAUAAAUAGUGAUAGUGGUAGUGAUUCUUUUAGUGAUAGUGAUAGGGAUACUUGAUAUUAGAGGGUGGUGGUUGUUUCAAUGAUAGUGAUAGUUAAUAUUAGAGGAUAGUGAUUGUUUUAAUGAUAGCGUUCUUUGAUAUUAGAGGACAGUGAUUGUAUUAGCGAUAGUGAUAGUUAAUAUUGGAGGAUGGUGAUUGUUUUUGUGAUAGUGGUACAUUUAGUGAUAGUGAUACUUGGUAUUAGCAGACAAUGAUUGUUUUCUUGAUCUUGAUAAAUAAAUAUUUUUCCAAAAGCAGUAAA